rnacentral:rRNA from 1 species
CCUACGGGAGGCUGCAGUGAGGAAUAUUGGUCAAUGGCCGAAAGGCUGAACCAGCCAUGCCGCGUGAAGGUCAGUGCCCUAUGGGCGUUAAACUUCUUUUGUGCGGGAGCAAUAAUGGUCACGUGUGGCCAGACGAGAGUACCGUACGAAUAAGCAUCGGCUAACUCCGUGCCAGCAGCCGCGGUAAUACGGGGGAUGCAAGCGGUAUCCGGGUUUAGUUGGUUUAAAGGGUGCGUAGGCGGUGAGGUAAGUCAGCGGUGAAAUGCCCCCGCUCAACGGGGUGAAGUGCCAUUGAUACUGCCUUGCUGGAAUGCGGAGGCCGUGGGAGGAAUGUGUGGUGUAGCGGUGAAAUGCAUAGAUAUCACACAGAACACCGAUUGCGAAGGCAUCUAACGAAGCCGCGAUUGACGCUGAUGCACGAAAGCGUGGGUAUCAAACAGGAUUAGAUACCCUUGUAGUC